CCUACGGGAGGCUGCAGUGAGGAAUAUUGGUCAAUGGACGAGAGUCUGAACCAGCCAAGUAGCGUGAAGGAUGACUGCCCUAUGGGUUGUAAACUUCUUUUAUAAAGGAAUAAAACGAGGCACGUGUGCCUUUUUGCAUGUACUUUAUGAAUAAGGAUCGGCUAACUCCGUGCCAGCAGCCGCGGUAAUACGGAGGAUCCGAGCGUUAUCCGGAUUUAUUGGGUUUAAAGGGAGCGUAGAUGGGUUGUUAAGUCAGUUGUGAAAGUUUGCGGCUCAACCGUAAAAUUGCAAUUGAUACUGGCAUUCUUGAGUACAGUUGAGGUAGGCGGAAUUCGUGGUGUAGCGGUGAAAUGCUUAGAUAUCACGAAGAACCCCGAUUGCGAAGGCAGCUUACUAAACUGUGACUGACAUUGAUGCUCGAAAGUGUGGGUAUCAAACAGGAUUAGAUACCCUUGUAGUC
rnacentral:rRNA from 1 species